rnacentral:rRNA from 1 species
AUUGAACGCUGGCGGCAGGCUUAACACAUGCAAGUCGAGCGGGGUGAUGGUGCUUGCACUAUCACUUAGCGGCGGACGGGUGAGUAAUGCUUAGGAAUCUGCCUAUUAGUGGGGGACAACAUCUCGAAAGGGAUGCUAAUACCGCAUACGUCCUACGGGAGAAAGCAGGGGAUCACUUGUGACCUGGAGCUAAUAGAUGAGACUAAUGCGGAUUAGCGAGUUGGUGGGGUAAAGGCCUACCAAGGCGACGAUCUGUAGCGGGUCUGAGAGGAUGAUACGCCACACUGGGACUGAGACACGGCCCAGACUCCUACGGGAGGCAGCAGUGGGGAAUAUUGGACAAUGGGGGGAACCCUGAUCCAGCCAUGCCGCGUGUGUGAAGAAGGCCUUAUGGUUGUAAAGCACUUUAAGCGAGGAGGAGGCUCUUUUGGUUAAUACCCAAGAUGAGUGGACGUUACUCGCAGAAUAAGCACCGGCUAACUCUGUGCCAGCCGCCGCGGUAA